rnacentral:rRNA from 1 species
AAASCCUGAMGGAGCAACSCCGCKUGAGUGAUGAAGGGUUUCGGCUCGUAAAACUCUGUUAUUAGGGAAGAACAAAUGUGUAAGUAACUGUGCACGUCUUGACGGUACCUAAUCAGAAAGCCACGGCUAACUACGUGCCAGCAGCCGCGGUAAUACGUAGGUGGCAAGCGUUAUCCGGAAUUAUUGGGCGUAAAGCGCGCGUAGGCGGUUUCUUAAGUCUGAUGUGAAAGCCCACGGCUCAACCGUGGAGGGUCAUUGGAAACUGGGAAACUUGAGUGCAGAAGAGGAAAGUGGAAUUCCAUGUGUAGCGGUGAAAUGCGCAGAGAUAUGGAGGAACACCAGUGGCGAAGGCGACUUUCUGGUCUGUAACUGACGCUGAUGUGCGAAAGCGUGGGGAUCAAACAGGAUUAGAUACCCUGGUAGUCCACGCCGUAAACGAUGAGUGCUAAGUGUUAGGGGGUUUCCGCCCCUUAGUGCUGCAGCUAACGCAUUAAGCACUCCGCCUGGGGAGUACGACCGCAAGGUUGAAACUCAAAGGAAUUGACGGGGACCCGCACAAGCGGUGGAGCAKGUGGUUUAAUUCGAAGCAACGCGAAGAACCUUACCAAAUCUUGACAUCCUUUGAAAACUCUAGAGAUAGAGCCUUCCCCUUCGGGGGACAAAGUGACAGGUGGUGCAUGGUUGUCGUCAGCUCGUGUCGUGAGAUGUUGGGUUAAGUCCCGCAACGAGCGCAACCCUUAAGCUUAGUUGCCAUCAUUAAGUUGG